ACUAACCACUGCAGUACUCAGCAAACAAGCAAUAAGGAACUCAGGACAGCACACUGCAGGCUGUCUAUCCAAGGUGUUACAGAUACUGAGAAUACUUCCUGUAUCCUACAUUACAGUCACAUGAGGAGAAAGCUGCAAAAGCAUGUGUACCAGACGACCUCCAUCUGAGAGCUACACUUGCAAAUGCAGAUGCCAUUUUCAGGUCCAGGUGUGGUGCUCGCUGGAUGUAACAGUCUCUCCAUAUGGAAAACUUCUAAGUGCCAGUGGAGGAGCUGUUACCUGCAGAGAGUCACCAAGAGCUUCCCCAAGAAGCCACGGACAGUCAGCAGUCUUCAAACUACUAAUGAACUAAUAAACUAUUAAUAAACUCAAUAACAGUAAAAUGCAGUGUUUAGCAAGUUUUUUUUAUUGUAAGAUUAGAUUUCUGGUACACUUUUCUCAGAUGACUCUUUUAUAUAUAUAUCAGGACAUGCAGUUAUUGCUCUUAUAUCAGGAUGUAUUGCUGCCUUGCACCCAAUGUUCUCAGGACAGGCUCCAGACCUACUGCAACCCUGAUCAGGUUAAAGUGGUUAUUGAACAUGAAGAUGAAUGCAUGAAUGAAUGAAUGAACAAAUGCAUGAAUGAAUGAAUGAAUGAAUGAACAAAUGCAUGAAUGACCUGGUGCCAUUUUCUGUGAUGCCAUUUUCAUAAUUGCUGCAGUUUUUUUCAUAUAUUUUGAUAUAUUUGAUACAGCCACACGUAUAAAGAAAAGUUCCUCAAGGGUUGUUUGGCUCAUUAAUGAAUCUCGGCUUCCUAAUUGACUUCUACUUGGAACUUUUUCAGAAAGGGAAACGCUUUAUUGGAGAAUUCUACAUAGAAGGGUAUAGAAGAGACAAACUGAAGAACCCUUUAGUGUCCUAGAUGAAACUUUUUUUCCACCAGUCGUCUACACCUGCAUUUACAAAUCCUUCUCCUUUAUUGAACUCAAACCUCAGAGUAGAUUAAUUCCAGUCCACUAUAUCAGGACAUGCAGUUAUUGCUAUUACCUCUGUCAAAAACAUGCCAGCAGGUAGAUUAAGUACUCUAAGGGUGUUUUCACAUAUUUUUAAAUGAACCAUACUCAGUCUUGUUAAAGUGCACCAGAAAAGGAAUUGACUGCAAAUGGCCUCAGUGCUUUUGGAGUUCACAAUACAAGUGGACUCAGAAGGGGACUCCGUUGUCUUUCUGUUAAUUUUAGCAUUGACGAGAUCUCUGACCACUUGUUUUUCACACCACAACUCCUUUACCAUAGAUUAAUACUGAAUAUAUGUAACACUGAAUAGUGUCAUUGAAAAUGGUUGCUUUACAUGAUGCUAUCAUUUGCUGAAAUGCUAUGAUUUGGAUGAAAAACAGAGCAGGCAAAUCAAAUUUGAAGUGAAAUACCAGAAGCAUUUUUGAUGCUGAACCAUCAAAAUCAACACAUGCUUCAUGCCAUAGCGCCACUGACUGUUUAGCUCACGCGAGUGGUUGGGGUGGACAAAAAACAUGAAUACACUGCAUAUAUUACAAACAUACUGUAUACUAAUAGUAUUAUACAGUAACUAAUGUUCCUGUCACUGACACAAUACUAUUAUUACUGCUGCUCUAUAGCUCUAUAGCAUAAUUGCUAGUGAAACAGUGGCUCUACUAGCACAUCUGUCACGUUGCUCCCUAACAUGUUGACCUUAUUGUGGGACCACACCCUACGGAAAGCCAUUCGAGUUGUUUUUCUGUCAGAUGACAGAAAACUGGAGCUGUGUAUGUACAGCAACUCUCAAGUUCUUUAUCUAUAAAGCAAAAUAUGAAGUCGACUGAGACCACUUUGUCUUCACAAUGUACAAAUCAACUGGACCACAAAAAAGUGGCUUGUGGGUCACAUUAGAGGGGUCUGAGUUUAUUUGUUGUGUUUACUUUUGUACAAAACAUGUUACGUCAUCAAUCUGAGAUGACUUGGAAUGCUAAAAUGGACCAAGUGUGAAAAUACCCUAGGUGUGAGAAUGUGUGCGUGCAUGGUGCACAUCCAGGUGAUCCAUCCAGGAUGUAUUGCUGCCUUGCACCCAAUGUUCUCAGGACAGGCUCCAGACCUACUGCAACCCUGAUCAGGUUAAAGUGGUUAUUGAACAUGAAGAUGAAUGAAUGAAUGAAUGAAUGAACAAAUGCAUGAAUGACCUGGUGCCAUUUUCUGUGAUGCCAUUUUCAUAUAUUUUGAUAUAUUUGAUACAGCCACACGUAUAAAGAAAAGUUCCUCAAGGGUUGUUUGGCUCAUUAAUGAAUCUCGGCUUCCUAAUAGACUUCUACUUGGAACUUUUUCAAAAAGGGAAACACUUUAUUGGAGAGUUCUACAUAGAAGGGUAUAGAAGAGACAAACUGAAGAACCCUUUAGUGUCCUAGAUGAAACUUUUUUCCACCAGUCGUCUACACCUGCAUUUACAAAUCCUUCUCCUUUAUUGAACUCAAACCUCAGAGUAGAUUAAUUCCAGUCCACUUUCAUUCCAUCCCUACUUUAACUGGGAUCAGAUUACCUUUAUUUGGCCGAACAUACCUGUGCAAUAUGAGCAAAUGAGAUGUUUGGAAGGAAAAUUCCUUGGUAGGGGUUAGUCUGGGAGCAGGAGUGGGACACACUCGCCUCAGUUGUACUUCGUCUGAUUGAUUUAAGACUGAUUUAAGAGGGGAUUCAUGCACUGCUGCUAAUCUGUGUUGGUUUCAUGUUCCUUGUAA